AGUCGUACGCUUUUUCUUUCACCGGAGCUUGCUCCACCGAAAGAAAAGGAGUGGCGAACGGGUGAGUAACACGUGGGUAACCUGCCCAUCAGAAGGGGAUAACACUUGGAAACAGGUGCUAAUACCGUAUAACAAUCGAAACCGCAUGGUUUUGAUUUGAAAGGCGCUUUCGGGUGUCGCUGAUGGAUGGACCCGCGGUGCAUUAGCUAGUUGGUGAGGUAACGGCUCACCAAGGCCACGAUGCAUAGCCGACCUGAGAGGGUGAUCGGCCACAUUGGGACUGAGACACGGCCCAAACUCCUACGGGAGGCAGCAGUAGGGAAUCUUCGGCAAUGGACGAAAGUCUGACCGAGCAACGCCGCGUGAGUGAAGAAGGUUUUCGGAUCGUAAAACUCUGUUGUUAGAGAAGAACAAGGAUGAGAGUAACUGUUCAUCCCUUGACGGUAUCUAACCAGAAAGCCACGGCUAACUACGUGCCA
rnacentral:rRNA from 1 species